rnacentral:misc_RNA from 1 species
GAUGAAGAACGUAGCGAAAUGCGAUAAGUAAUGCGAAUUGCAGAAUUCAGUGAAUCAUCGAAUCUUUGAACGCACAUUGCGCCCGCCAGUAUUCUGGCGGGCAUGCCUGUCUGAGCGUCGUUUCGACCCUCGCGCCCGGCUUCUGUCGGGGGCGGUGUUGGGGAUCGGCCACACCCUUCAGUGGGAGGCCGGCCCCUAAAGUCAGUGGCGACCACGCUGUAGCCUCCCCUGCGUAGUACUAAAACCACCUCGCAGGCGGAGAGCGGUGCGGCCCGCCGUAAAACCCCCCAACUUUUACAAGGUCGACCUCAGAUCAGGUAGGAAUACCCGCUGAACUUAAGCAUAUCAAUAAGCGGAGGA